rnacentral:rRNA from 1 species
UUUGCCUCUCCCAUUAUCCUGAAGUCGUCUAACAUCGACCUCAUUUUGGGGAUGGAUUGGCUGAAAGCGCAUACUGCUUCUAUAGUUUGCACCACUAAGACCGUUCAUCUACUUCACCCUUCAGAUGAAAUAGUUGCUUACCAAGCUCAUCUGGUGCAAAAUGCCGAGGCCAGGCUCUAUGCAUUGAAUGCCUUGAACGCCGCACCACUCGAGGGCAUUGAAAACAUUCUCAUCGUGCGUGAAUUCCUCGACGUCUUCCCUGAAGAACUUCCAGGGAUUCCCCCUGCUAGAGCUGUCGAAUUCAUCAUCGACUUGAAACCAGGCACCACUCCUAUAGCCAAGCGACCCUACAAAAUGCCGUCGCACGAACUCCUUGAGCUUAAGGAGGAAAUCGACAAAUCUCUUCGCAAAGGAUUCAUUCGCCCAAGUUGCUCUCCUUGGGGAGCACCUUCUCUCUUUGUCAAGAAGAAGGAUGGGACAAACCGAUUAGUUCAAGACUACCGUCCUAUAAACCAAGCUACCAUUCAGAAUAAAUACCCUCUUCCUCGGUUCAAUGAUCUGUAUGAUCAACUGGCGGGUUCAUCAGUGUUCUCUAAGCUCGACUUGAGGUUGGGUUACCACCAGAUCCGUGUUCGCGAAGAGGAUAUCCCAAAGACCGCCUUCGUGACUCGCUAUGGUUCAUACGAGUACACCGUCAUGUCUUUCGGUUUAACCAAUGCUCCAGCCACCUUCUCUCAUCUGAUGAACUAUAUAUUCAUGGAUUACCUCGACAAGUUCGUCGUGGUUUAUCUGGAU